UACGGAGGGUGCAAGCGUUAAUCGGAAUUACUGGGCGUAAAGCGCACGCAGGCGGUUUGUUAAGUCAGAUGUGAAAUCCCCGCGCUUAACGUGGGAACUGCAUUUGAAACUGGCAAGCUAGAGUCUUGUAGAGGGGGGUAGAAUUCCAGGUGUAGCGGUGAAAUGCGUAGAGAUCUGGAGGAAUACCGGUGGCGAAGGCGGCCCCCUGGACAAAGACUGACGCUCAGGUGCGAAAGCGUGGGGAGCAAACA
rnacentral:rRNA from 2 species